rnacentral:sRNA from 1 species
AGCCUAAGUCCUGCACAAAGGAUAUGGCAAUAUAAGAAUCUCACACUAAUAAAGACGGUCUUCCGACCAGCACUUAUUAGUGUGAGUUUAUACCCGAAAGGGUGUAAGGCAUUCCGAAAGGAUUGUC